rnacentral:misc_RNA from 1 species
GGAAGUAAAUGUCGUAACAAGGUUUCCGUAGGUGAACCUGCGGAAGGAUCAUUAUUGUAUAACCGAGGUGCGAGGGCUGUCGCUGACCCGAAAGGUCGUGCACGCCCGAGUGCCCUCACACACAUCCAUCUCACCCCUAUGUGCACCACCGCGUGGGUCCCCCUUUGGCUUGUUCGGAGGGGGGCUUACGUUUUCACACGAACUUUGUAUGCAGUGUAGAAUGUAUUUUUUGUUUUUGCGAUCACGCAAUCAAUACAACUUUCAACAACGGAUCUCUUGGCUCUC